rnacentral:rRNA from 4 species
GAUGAACGCUGGCGGCGUGCCUAACACAUGCAAGUCGAACGGAGAUUUAACGCUGAUGAAGCUUCGGCAGAUUCUUGUUAAAUCUUAGUGGCGGACGGGUGAGUAACGCGUGGGCAACCUGCCUCAUACUGGGGGAUAACAGCUGGAAACGACUGUUAAUACCGCAUAAGCGCACGGUAUCGCAUGAUACAGUGUGAAAAACUCCGGUGGUAUGAGAUGGGCCCGCGUCAGAUUAGCCAGUUGGCAGGGUAACGGCCUACCAAAGCGACGAUCUGUAGCCGGCCUGAGAGGGCGGACGGCCACAUUGGGACUGAGACACGGCCCAAACUCCUACGGGAGGCAGCAGUGGGGGAUAUUGCACAAUGGAGGAAACUCUGAUGCAGCGACGCCGCGUGAGUGAAGAAGUAUUUCGGUAUGUAAAGCUCUAUCAGCAGGGAAGAAAGACUCGUAAGAGAGAUGACG